rnacentral:misc_RNA from 1 species
UUGGUUGGCCAUUAUAUGGAAUGUAUUGUAGAGAGCUCACGAAGUGGAGAGGUAUAUUGAAUUCCGUGAGUUUUGUUUGAGUGAUUUUGAGGGUAAGAAAACUAAUUAGUAUUGUAACUAUUUUUUCUUGGUAGUGUAUUUAUUGGUGAAGUAGGCUUACGCCAAAUCACAUUAAAUUUUGUGUUCUUUAAUCUGUGGGUGUAAUUUUCACAACAAUUGGUAUCAGAGCUAUGGUUCGAGAUGUCAAAGUUAGCGAGCACAAAAUUUGAGGCAAAGCCAUUUGAUGGGAAAAAUAAUUUCAGUUUA